AGUAACAAAGUGAUUUUUUUAUUUUUAUGUAUUUUUAUUUUUUUAACUUUGACUCCCUACUUUUAAAAACAAGUAUAUCUGCACUUUCUACUCCUUAUUUUACCAAAACAUGAUCAUUACUUUUUUCAACCUCUGCGGAUGACGGCACGACAUACAAGCAAGGUUGUCAUAUACUGGCCUGCAGUUCCAUUAUAGUAGCCUGGAGGGCUCUUUGCGUCCUCUCUCUCUCCCCCCUCCCCUCUCUGUUUUCAGCACCUGUCUCCAAUCAGCCUCAUCACCACCGGUAUUUAAGCCUGCCUGUUCCAGGAAAUCCUCGCCAAAGUAUUGCAGCCUCUCCUAGCGGUACCACGGGCCACCGUACUCAAGUAAGCCACUCAACUCCUCGUUAACUCUUGUGUCCCCUCAUUCCCAGUGUUCCUGACCCACGUCAUUCCUGCCAGCUUCCUGUUCACGCGGUCGCCUGCCAACACAUCCAGGACCACCUCCAUGACCUUUGCUCAAUAAACUGUUCAUCAUUUUACAUCAGCCUCCGCCUGCUCUUGGGUCCAGCUACUUCCCACACUUGACAGAGGGUCACAGGUGAGCUGGAGCAUAUCCCAGCUGACUUCAGGAGAAAAGUGAACUACACCUUGGACUGGUCGCCACGCACUCUCAGGGCACAUAAGAUGGAACGGAACUCACACUGCCUCAACCCAAGUCAGCAAAUGCUCGUCAGGAUCUAUCCUCCUUCCAUGCUCCCGCCUUUGACCUGAUGACACAGUUUAUUGUUCAUAGUCGGGAACCAAACCAGCUUGACAAAAAAUCGAAUUCUCAGAGACCAAGAUAGUUAACAACCAGGAAAAUAGUAACAAAAACAACAUUUCCUUCUAAAAAAAACUAAACAAAACAUAAAACAUGGAUUUUAGGCAUUAACAGCGGUGCAGUAAUAAAAAGGAAGUGUUUUUAUAACUAGGAGAAUGUCAUCUUUUUCAUUGCCAUAGCAACCCUAAAUCACCUCCUAUGUGGUC